rnacentral:rRNA from 1 species
GAUGAACGCUGGCGGCGUGCUUAACACAUGCAAGUCGAACGAGAAGUGAAGACGGAAACCUUCGGGCGGAAGGCUUUAUUUCGAGUGGCGGACGGGUGAGUAACGCGUGGGUAACCUGCCUCAUACAGGGGGAUAACAGUUGGAAACGACUGUUAAUACCGCAUAAGACCACAGCACCGCAUGGUGCGGGGGUAAAAACUCCGGUGGUAUGAGAUGGACCCGCGUUCGAUUAGCCAGUUGGCGGGGUAACGGCCCACCAAAGCGACGAUCGAUAGCCGAUCUGAGAGGAUGACCGGCCACAUUGGGACUGAGACACGGCCCAAACUCCUACGGGAGGCAGCAGUGGGGAAUAUUGCACAAUGGGGGAAACCCUGAUGCAGCGACGCCGCGUGAGUGAAGAAGUAUUUCGGUAUGUAAAGCUCUAUCAGCAGGGAAGAAAAUAACGGUACCUGAGGAAGAAGCCCCGGCUAACUACGUG